rnacentral:rRNA from 1 species
UACGGGGGGUGCGAGCGUUGUCCGGAAUCACUGGGCGUAAAGGGCGCGUAGGUGGCCUGAUAAGGGUGUGGUGAAAGUCCGGGGCUCAACCCCGGAUCUGCCGUGCCGACUGUUAGGCUAGAGUACUGUAGGGGCAGGCGGAAUUCCGGGUGUAGCGGUGAAAUGCGUAGAUAUCGGGAGGAACACCUGUGGCGAAAGCGGCGCACUGGACCACAUCUGACGCUGAGGCGCGAAAGCUAGGGGAGCAAACAGG